rnacentral:sRNA from 6 species
CAGCACAAAGGGGAGCCGAAGCUCCCCUUUAAUUUUGUCGUCGCGUGCUCUUUUUUUAUUAUUGAGGGGCGGCCUGUUGUUGUUUUUGGUAGCCGUGACCCUUUACCGCUGUUUCUGGCGAUCCCCAUCCGGGAUCAAGAGCAAACGUAUUUUUUUGAACGCUGAUCUGCUUUUUCGCCUAGCGAUCCAACCGAUUCGGGGCCUACCUGAAGGUAGUU